rnacentral:antisense_RNA from 1 species
CUUGAGCGAGCCCAGCCAGAGCGGCUCCGUGCGCCCCUGCCCGUACUCGGCCAGCAGUGCCUGGGCCUC